GUGCUCCUACGGGAGGCAGCAGUGAGGAAUAUUGGUCAAUGGCCGGGAGGCUGAACCAGCCAAGUCGCGUGAGGGAGGACGGCCCUACGGGUUGUAAACCUCUUUUGUCAGGGAGCAAGGUGCAGGUCGUGACCUGUUGUGAGAGUACCUGAAGAAAAAGCAUCGGCUAACUACGUGCCAGCAGCCGCGGUCAUACGUAGGAUCCGAGCAUUAUCCGGAGUGACUGGGUGUAAAGAGUUGCGUAGGUGGCAUAGUAAGUAGCUAGUGAAAUCUGGUGGCUCAACCAUUCAGACUAUUAGCUAAAC
rnacentral:rRNA from 1 species